rnacentral:rRNA from 1 species
GGGGAAUAUUGGACAAUGGGCGCAAGCCUGAUCCAGCCAUGCCGCGUGGGUGAAGAAGGCCUUCGGGUUGUAAAGCCCUUUUGUUGGGAAAGAAAAGCAGCCGGCCAAUACCCGGUUGUUCUGACGGUACCCAAAGAAUAAGCACCGGCUAACUUCGUGCCAGCAGCCGCGGUAAUACGAAGGGUGCAAGCGUUACUCGGAAUUACUGGGCGUAAAGGGCGUGUAGGCGGGACUGUAAGUCAGGCGUGAAAAUUAUGGGCUCAACCCAUAACCUGCGUUUGAAACUAUAGUUCUUGAGUGUCGGAGAGGCAAUCGGAAUUCCGUGUGUAGCGGUGAAAUGCGUAGAUAUACGGAGGAACACCAGUGGCGAAGGCGGAUUGCUGGACGAUAACUGACGCUGAGGCGCGAAAGCGUGGGGAGCAAACA